GGAAGUUGCCGAUGAGCUGCCGAGGGGGCGUUGUCGGAAUGGUUCCGAGGCGGUUGGAGUCCUGCAGUUGACACCGAGAGUGCGACGAGAAAGGGUGUCAGGGAGGCGGCCGGGCGAGAGCGGCCUCCGCGGGUCUCAUGGUCUAGUAUGGACCCUGUUGCUGUUCACAGCUGCCACCUCCUGCAGCAGCUGCGAGAGCAGCGGAUCCAGGGCCUGCUUUGUGACUGCAUGCUGGUGGUGAGGGGCGUCUGCUUCAAAGCACACAAGAAUGUCCUGGCAGCCUUCAGCCAGUAUUUCAGGAGCCUCUUUCAGAACUCUUCCAGCCAGAAGAACGACGUUUUCCACCUGGACGUUACAAAUGUCAGUGGCAUAGGGCAGAUCCUGGACUUCAUGUACACAUCGCGCCUCGACCUCAACCAGGACAACAUUCAGGUGAUGCUGGACACAGCGCAGUGUCUGCAAGUGCAGAAUGUUCUGAAUCUGUGCCACACAUUUCUGAAGUCGGCCCCUGCAGCACAGCUGCCAGGCUUGCCUUGUGCUGGUGGCUUCUCCCUGCAGAGUGUGGCUCUGGAUGGCACCUGCGCCGUUAGUGAGCACUACCCUCCUCCCUCACUGCAGGAGUGCCCUGUGGAAGGCCCGCAGGCUAAAGUCCCGGCUGAAGUGAACGCUCGUGCUCCAUCGGCAAAUUUCAGUCGUCCCACGGAAGUGUCAAAACCAGAUGCUGCAGGCGGCAGCUGCCCAGAGCUGCCCUGCAAGCAGCCCAACCACUAUUACAAACUCAGAACAUUGUACAGCAAGCAGUAUUACAAGCAAACUGCCUGCCCCAGCCAGGUGCCUGCCACACAACAGCCGCUCACUCGCAGUGCCUCCACAGACCUCGCUGCAGCAGACUCGCAGCCUCCUGUGGAGGGCCGUCCAGCUGUCCUGGAGACUCCAGAGCACUUGCCUUCCACCUUUGUGGCUCCACCUGUCAGGAACUCUGGCAAUGACUCUGAGGCAGACCCCCUUUCUGAGCCCCCUGCCAAGCAGAUGAGACUGAAGAAGGCCAUGCACCUGAAGAAACUAAACUUUCUAAAGUCACAGCAGUCGGCAGAGUGCACUUCACACCCUGAGCCAGAUAAUGGGUUGGCCAGGAGGGAGGAGUCUGCUGCUAAGGAAGAUGCAGUGGAGAGAGCUGGAAGCCAGACUGCUGAAGAAAAAGGGAGGGGAGAACUGGGUCCAGAGAGCAGCCGUGAGGAGGAGCUGCCAGGAGCCCCAGCUUCCUGGGAAGACCCGUCCCAGGCUCUCCAGCCCCAGAAACAGUAUGCAUGUGAAUUGUGUGGGAAGCCUUUUAAACACCCAAGCAAUCUGGAGCUGCACAAACGGUCUCAUACAGAAACUUACCUGUUGUAGCUUUAAAGGAGCAAAAUUAAAUUGCUAAUUCUGGAGACCAUCUGUGAGUGACAGAUACAGUCAUAGGGCAGAGACACUUCCUCGGAUGUAAGUGCUGCAUUGAGAUGGCAGCAGAGCGUGGCCUGGACACCAGGGACCUGUGAGAGAGGCCAGAGCUGUCUCAGACUGGUGCAGAUGCCACUUCCUUCCUCCUCGGCGUGCUGUGGAAGCUGCCAGUGGCCACAUGGUGAGAAACCUUUUGAAUGUAACAUUUGUGGGAAACACUUCUCUCAGGCAGGCAACCUUCAGACUCACUUACGCCGGCACUCUGGGGAGAAGCCAUACAUCUGUGAAAUCUGUGGAAAGAGGUUUGCGGCCUCUGGUGACGUCCAGCGCCACAUCAUCAUUCACUCUGGAGAGAAGCCACACUUGUGUGACACGUGCGGCCGAGGGUUCAGCAAUUUCAGCAAUUUGAAAGAGCACAAAAAGACACACACGGCUGACAAGGUGUUUACCUGUGACGAGUGUGGGAAGUCCUUUAACAUGCAGAGGAAGCUGGUGAAGCACCGCGUGCGGCACACGGGGGAGCGGCCAUACAGCUGCCCUGCCUGUGGUGAGUCUGGCCUCGUCCUGUGUGAGGUGGACGUGCCCACCCUGCUGCUGGCCGCCAGAAGUCACUGUUCUCUCACGGGGCCGGCCAAAGUGGUAGUUCCUUUGCUUCCUCGUGGGAAUAAUGCCACAUACCAGACUCUGCGUCUGUAGGCAUCAGGAACUGAUCCUGAUGCCCAGACACAAAGUGACUCCAAGCCCCAUCACCCAGAGCUGGCAGCCCCGUGGGAGGGGGAGAGUGUGGGAGCACACUUUGGGAACUAAGGGCAUGCAUCAGUCACAGGUCAGAAAGCAGCUGGCCUGGGUAGGCCUCAGCGAGGCCACGGAUGGUAAAGGAAGAGCAGGCAGCUCUCCACCUCGGGUACCUUGGUGCAUGGCUUUCUAUUCCUGCACAAACAUCAUGACCAAGAGGCAAGAUAGGGAGGAAAGGCUUUAUUCAGCUUACACUUCCACACUGCUGUUCAUCACCAAAGGAAGUCAGGACUGGAACUGAGGGUAGGAACCUGGAGGCAGGAGCGGAUACAGAAGCCAUGGAGGAGUACUGCUUACUGGCUUGCUUCUUCUGUCUUGCUCAGCCUGCUCUCUUAUAGAACCAAGACUACCAGCCUAGGGAUGGCACCACCCACAGGGGACCUCCCCUCUUGAUCACUAAUUGUGAAAAUGCCCCACAGCUGGAUCUCAUGGAGGCAUUUCCCCAACUAAAGCUCCUUUCUCUGUGAUAACUCCAGCUGUGUCAAGUUGGCACACAAAACCAAGUGCACAUGUGAAGACCAGGAAUUGAGCAGCUGUAGCUUGUGACUACAUGGAAUCAAGAGUCAUACACCCCCAGGAACCUGAGGAAGGCAUUUGCCCAUGUGCCCAUUGUGUGUGCUGGCGGAGCUGUGAUGACUGGGUGAACUGUCUUUAUGGCGGUCUGUUCAGAGUGCACCUGGGUUAGCUUCUACUGAGGGCUGGGGCUGCAGUUGGCAUCUGACAGCUCAGGACUUCCCUCCCAUCUCUUUUCUGACAGACUAGCCAACGGCACACAGCCUGAUAACUGUGAGGUCAGGUCUCACUCUCUUUCCAUGGUGACUCCAUAUGGCUAAAGUAUGUGUGCACUAGGGACCCUACAGAUGGGGGUGGCAGCUGCCCACAAGUCCCAGCUGAGAGUUAGUGGUACAGUGGAAGGCAGAGGAUCUACUUAUGCCCAGAGAUGGAUGGUCGGGAGCAGAAGGCAGCUAGGUCGCACAGUAGUAAACGAGGAGCUGGAACACUAAAGCCGUAGACUCCCACAGACACAUUACUAAGAUGGCACGUAAAGCUGUGAAGAUGCCUGACUGGUGUUAUAUGAAAACGCUGACCCUGACACUGGGCUGACACGAGCUGUUAGUGGGUGCUGGCUCAGGGUUUAUAUGGAGGUAUUCAGAGCUUUCUUGGAGAGCCCUAGCUGUUGGUUCAGUGGCAUUCUUCUUUGUGCCCCCAUCCCACCUGCUCCUGUUGCUUUACACGGCCCCCAUGGCUGCAGAAUCAAAGCGGUGGUAUGCGGCAUUCAGUCAGGGAGAAGCUGUCCGUGUGUCCAGUAUGCAAGGGGUGUUUCCUUUCAGAGAGCUCUCACCGGAAGGCCUUUGCAGUUAUCUCCUGAGUUCUGCUCCUCACAAGGAAGCAGGCUGAAGGACAGACAAGUAUGUGCACGUCUUUGGUACAAGCUUCCUGCACAGACGUCAGGAAAGGGGUGGUAGGCUUUCUAGGCUACCUGACCAUGCGCACUACCACUGCCUACACCCCACCGUUCUAGACAGAAGCUAGAGGGGAAAGGUUUGUUCUGGGCUUAUGGUUUCCAUCAGAGGUCUAGCCCUAGUGACUCACUCUCACUAGCUGGGCCCUCUCUCCUAAAGGUUCCACAUCCUCACUCAAUACCGUCCUCAGCUGAGGAGCAUCGGGGACCAUCACGGGCUAGCUGACAGCAGCAUUGCACAGGAGUACCGUCGUUGAGGGGGCUGUGUUUCAGUCUGAUACGGAGCAGCUGCUGGCUGCCUGGGCAGGCCCUAGCACUGAGGCCCAGAGGGCUUGUGCUGAGUCUCCAGCUGCAAGGGCCCAUUGGAGAGGGAUCUCAUUCAAAGUGAGGGUGCCAUCCCCCUCAGCUUCCCUUAGAUUGGUUGUUCAGAAGGAGGGGAUCCUUCCACUUCUAAACUAGCCCUUCUCUGCAGGGAAGUGCUUUGGGGGCUCAGGAGACCUGCGCAGGCACGUGCGCACUCACACUGGGGAGAAGCCCUAUAGCUGUGAGGUCUGCAGCAAGUGUUUCACACGCUCGGCUGUGUUGCGGCGGCACAAGAGGAUGCACGGCAGAGCUGAUGCCAGGAGCCCCGUUGUGCUGGGUGAGCUGAGCCGGCCCAUUGAGCCCUCUGACCUGGACAGGUCUCAGAGCUCGGACUCCUUCUCCCAGGAUGUGUCUGUCACACUGAUGCCUGUGUCUGUCAAGCUCCCUGUGCAGCCUGUGGAAAGUUCUGUGGCAGGAUUCGAUGGCCACUGUAGUGGCUCCUACUGUAAGUUACGCUCCAUGCUUCGCCCUCCUGGCAUGAGUGACCAGGACAGACUGAGCCUGGAACCUUCUAAGCUGGCCAAGCCACCGGAGCUGCAGAGCCAGCCACAGGCCUACGCGUACUCAGAUGUGGAGCCCUCAGCAGGUGUGGAGCAGCCACAGGCCGAUGGCAUGGCUGUGUCCCGCUCUUCCCUGGCCACUCUGGACAACCACUGCACUGAGCCACUGGGCAGCCGGGCACCUUCGGUGACCUACAGGAACUCUGAGGGACAGUUUUUCUCCAGUAUGACUCUCUGGGGGCUGGCAAUGAAGACACUGCAGAAUGAACAUGAGCUGGAGCAGUGAGGUCUCGUAACACUAGAGAGAACCGUCCCUCCUGCCCAACCCGGCUCCCUGUCGGCUCUGCACAACCCAGGGAGUGGGAGGAAGGCCUGCUCGCCCCUGCUGGUCCCAGGGAGGUCGGCCAACCGCAUAGGGCUGCUACGCAGCAGUCAACAACUCAGAGAAGCAGUCUAGGGUGAGGACAGCUGAUUCACAUCAGUGCAACAGCGCACCUAACGUCAGCUACUGUACAUUUGUCCUGUUAUGACAUAUGUAUACACAAAAUAUAGAUAGAUUUACAUUUUUAUAUGAUAGAAGAUUUUAGUAUCUUAUAUUUUAAAAUAUUUAUACAGAUUCUAUUUGUAUAUUAAACGUAUAAUUUAAUUUGAAUAAAUGAGCUAGCUUUUUCAUA